rnacentral:lncRNA from 1 species
GGAAGUUGCAAUUGAACUCAUCUUCCCAGAGCCCAGAGUGGUUUUCUCGCUCCCGUAAGAGGUAGCUGCUACUUAUCAAAGGUUCCAGCUCUCUAGAUGCUACAAACACGAAGUUAUUUCAAUAAUACAUAUCUAAACCAGACUGCAAGGCUAACAUCAAAAAAGGUUUUUUGGGAAAGAUAUAUAGCUUUUGGCAGAAGAAAAUCAGUGACAAUGACUUAGAAGAAUCUUAAUCUCAUGAAAGAAAUAAAUGCUUGUCAGUCAAGAAGUUGUAACCUUUACCUUGUUUUGACCUUUACAUUUUCAAGUGAUACACUUAUGUGAGAUUUUGAAAAGUGAAAAAUCAAAGGUGGAAUUGACCAGUAGAUGUAAAAGUACAACAAAUAAACAAAAAUGGCAAUGUUGAAAGUGAAACUGAAAUUCAACAGAAAUAAAAGAAAUAGCAGACUGGGGGGAUAUUGACUUUGACACCAUGAUGCCAGAGGAACUUAGUGAUGGCAAACUUAUCAAUAUAAAAUGAGGAUAUUGGUUGUCAACUAGGUUGUGUGGUGGUCCUUGAUCUUGUCCAUCAAGUCCUUUUUCCCAAAGGAUAACUGAAGAAGAUCACAUACAUUCCAACUUAUUGAGUCUGAUAGGUAUUCAUCUGAUGAGCUCCUCUUCAACUGAGGAUUGAAAUGCUGUUUUUCUUCCCUGGUACAAUGUUAAAGCUUUAAACUCUUGUCAAUGAUGUGAUGUUUCAUCUGCAAUGAUCUACACUAGAAAAAUAAAAAUGUAGUUACUGACAAAAAAGCAGGAACUACUGCUCUAAGGAAAAAAGGACAGCUACAUGAGGACCACACAACUCCUGGAAGAGGUUUCCCUGGCAACACAACUUUUCCAUUCAUCUGGUUGCAGUGUUUUCAUCCAGUAGCCUGUCACCUCACUCAAAAGCAGGGCAAUGGAGAGAAAGAAACUUACCAAGUUUUUUCUUUUAACUAGAGAGUAGCCUACUUAUUGGGCCCUGCAAUUAAUUUCAGUACUCCAGGCAGAUUUAUAAAGGAAGCUGCUGGAAGGAAUUCAUUCCCUUUUUGCUGUUCUGCCUUCCACCUUCCACUGUGUGAGGACACUGCAAGAAAGCCCUCAUCAGACACCAACUGCCAGCACCUAGAUCUUGGAAUUCUCAGCCUCCAGAACUGUGAGAAACACGUUUCUGUUUUUCUAUAAAAUAAUAAUAAUAAAAAACUUCCAUGCAGGAAAAAAAAUCAAGUUCAAAGGUCCUGUGGUGAGGGCAUACCAGCUUUGUUUGAGAAGCAGUAAUCAUGCCUGUGUGACUGUAAUGAAAGAAUAAAAGAGAAAUGAGCACAGAAGAAUAUAAUGUAGUCCUUUUCAUUUUAAGCAAGAAAUUUGGCUUCAAUUCUAAAUGUGAUAAGAAAAAAACAGAAGGUUCCAAACUGAGAAGUGACAUAAUAUGAAAUGUUUUAACAGAAUCACCUUGUUACCAUAUUGCAAAUAAAAUGAAAGUGCAUCAAGGGCAGAAGUAGGAAGGCAAGUUAUGAGGUCAUUUUGAUAAUCCAGAGGAGCUGGGAUGAUGACUUACAGCAGUAUAGUAGCAAGGGUUGGGUGAGAACGUGGAAUCCUGGGUAUAUAUUAAAGUUUCAGCAAAAAGGAUUUAUAGAUGAAACAGAUAUGGGUUAUGAGAAAGAGUCAAGUUAAAGAUUAUAUCAAAAUUUUUUAUCUGAACAACUGGUAGUAUUGUGGUGAAUCCUUACCCCAUCAAUUUACGUGACCGAUAACUGAGUGGGAACAUUAAGGAAGGGAUGGUUUGAGUGAGAAUCAGGAUCUCAGUUUGGAAAUAUUAAGUUGAAUAUGCCUAUUUAAUAAUCAAAUGAAAAAUAGUAUUUUUGUAAUUUUCAGUAUUUAUUUGGCAAGAGAUUAAAUAAUCUAUAGCAUUGUUACUACUUUCUCUUUUUCAUAAAAGUUAUUUUGGUAUAAAAUCAACCUGACUGGGAACUAUCCAAAUAUAUAAGCCUUUAGCUUUGACCUAUUACUUAUAUUUUUUUGCCAUUAAUAAUAUGAACAUCCACUAAACAAGAACUUGAGACUAUAACUCUUCUCUAUUAAAUCUUCAUAUUAAAUUAGCCAUUUAAAUAGGAUUAUUAUUUUCAUUUAUUGCUGAAUACUUUCCAUUACAUUCAAACUUAUUGAGACAUCCUUAAAUUUUGUAAUUUAUUUAACGGAUUAAUUCCUUAGCUUCUAAACUGGUUUUCUGUACGGCAACCCUAUUUUCUUCUUAAUAACUCAUCAUCUACAUCCCCCAAUGUCUUAUUUUUCCAAAACAAAAGUGCACUAAUGCCCUUCUAGGGCAAAAAUUUCUUUAAUGGCUUUCUAUUGUUAUAGAUAAAGUUCAAACUUAUUAUGACGGCCUAUAAUUUUGGGGAAAAAACUCACCUAAAAACAGUUUUUAAAAGAUUAGAAUUCAAAUGCUUGAAAUUUCAGUUAUUUUAUGAGCUUUCUAUUCAAACAUUUCAGGGAGCUAAGACAUUACAUACUACACUACUACUACUACUACAAAUAAUAAUAAUAACAACAAUUAUAGUUACUCAUCUCAGUUUUGGCAGAGGAUACCAUUUAUAUAAAGAAUGUAAUUUGAUUGUAGCUAUUAAAAUAGUUACUAGACAAGAACUAGGAUGAUGGUAACAUUGACUUUUUAUCUGAAUCCUGGCUAUAUGUUUUCUGUUUGAAAAAAAAGUCAUUAAGUAUAAAAUUAUAAUUUUUAUAAUUUUGGAAUACAUAUUAUAAUAACACAUUUUUUUUAAACUGAGAAUUUAAGAUUUAAAAAGUACAGUAGGGGAAAGAAAAGGAAAAUAUAUUUUCUAUGUGCUUGUUUUAAUAAAUAAUGCCACCGAGGAUGUAAGUUUUCAAUGUCUAAUUAUUAAAUCAGCAUUACUUUCAUUAUUUUAACAACCUUCAUGGGGUUCUUAUAUUGAGACUCAAAUUAAAUAUGUAAUAUUAAUCCUAAUAUAGCUAUUUUUUCCUAACAAGAGCAUAAAACUUCCAAAAUUUCAUUCUGCAUAUUUAUAACUGAAUUUAUGACUGACAUAUUUCUUUUUCAAAUCAUGUCCAUCAUUAUAUGAACGGGUACUGAAUUUAUCCAUAUUUACUUACGUCUUUCUUCAGCCCCUCUGUCAACCCACUUAUCUUUUUGAUAGCUCAGUGAGCUGGCACUAGUUUUGUACCUCAGGAUGUUUACUCUGGCUAAUUUUGCCACUGAUCUUCUAAUGUCUGGUGCUUGGCAAUAAAGUCCCAGUUGGAGUUUUCAACCAACAGCAGUUUGCAUUCAGUUACUUAAUCUCUGUUUUGCAAUCUUAGUACCUUCCUUUCUGAUUGAAUGAAGACAGUUGCUCCUAGGGAUACCUGAACCUGAAAUGAACUGAAAAUAUUUUAUAGCUUUUCAAUUUGCCAGGCAGUAGAAGAAAAAUUCAUACCAAUCCCAUUGCUACAAACAGCUGUUACUAUAAGGUGAUAUUGCUAUGGAAUCCUAAAAUAGAACAAGGCAAAUACCAUCCCUGUGAGGGUUCUACUAUAUUUUGUGGAUCUCCAGCUGGAAACUUAAUUGUAAUAUAAACUGAGCAUACAGAAACAGCUUUCCUGCUUCUAUUCAGCAUACUUUCACUGAAUUGGAUAAUUUAAUCAAUAAGUUACAACACUCUUUAGUGUGAAGCUGCAUAAAAUUCUAGAAGGAGAGAAAAUUUGAUCUUUGAUUUCUAUUAUCUUUAUCUUCCUGCAUUAUAUUCUUCCAUGACUUUAGCUAAUACCUCUCCCCAUCACAAUAAAGUCUUUAAACACUUAGAAUCUAUUUUCUGUUUCUUGUGUCCAUAUCCUAUAACCAAAGACCACCAGGAACACCCCUGAGUUUAUUCUUGUUUACAGCAAUAAAUACUUCACACAAUGGGGAAAUGUGAAGUUAUCUCAGUAAGAGAGUAUUAAAAGAACCUAUUGUAUCAUUUGGGAUUUGGUUAUUUGGGGAAGAAAUUAAGGAAGCAAGACUGCCCUGGAUUGUCUGUUACCAGGAAGUGGGAGCAAUUUUAUGAUUAGGUAUGUCACCAAAUCUUAUCUAUAUGGAUGACAUACUAGAGUGAGGCUAAUGUAAUUGAGGAUAAGGUAACUGCUAAAGAAACAACAGUCACUUGUAUCUGGUAUGUUGUGAUUUGGACAACGUUCCUGUUUUGUUUAUGCUCAGAUAAAAUUAAGGAUUGUUGUUGUUUUUGUCAUUGUCCAUCA